GUGCCAGCAGCCGCGGUAAUACGUAGGUGGCAAGCGUUAUCCGGAAUUAUUGGGCGUAAAGCGCGCGUAGGCGGCUUUUUAAGUCUGAUGUGAAAGCCCACGGCUCAACCGUGGAGGGUCAUUGGAAACUGGAAAACUUGAGUGCAGAAGAGGAAAGUGGAAUUCCAUGUGUAGCGGUGAAAUGCGCAGAGAUAUGGAGGAACACCAGUGGCGAAGGCGACUUUCUGGUCUGUAACUGACGCUGAUGUGCGAAAGCGUGGGGAUCAAACAGGAUUA
rnacentral:rRNA from 1 species